UGGGGAAUAUUGCACAAUGGGCGCAAGCCUGAUGCAGCCAUGCCGCGUGUAUGAAGAAGGCCUUCGGGCUGUAAAGUACUUUCAGCGGGGAGGAAGGUGUUGAGGCUAAUAACCUCAGCAAUUGACGUUACCCGCAGAAGAAGCACCGGCUAACUCCGUGCCAGCAGCCGCGGUAAUACGGAGGGUGCAAGCGUUAAUCGGAAUUACUGGGCGUAAAGCGCACGCAGGCGGUCUGUCAAGUCGGAUGUGAAAUCCCCGGGCUCAACCUGGGAACUGCAUUCGAAACUGGCAGGCUAGAGUCUUGUAGAGGGGGGUAGAAUUCCAGGUGUAGCGGUGAAAUGCGUAGAGAUCUGGAGGAAUACCGGUGGCGAAGGCGGCCCCCUGGACAAAGACUGACGCUCAGGUGCGAAAGCGUGGGGAGCAAACA
rnacentral:rRNA from 1 species